AACUAAAGGUCGUCAUCUGGGCAAAUGAACCACUCUGACUUGGAGAUUAGGGGCUCAGACAGCCGUGGAUGAGAGUCCAGCUCUACUACUUAUUAGCCUUGAUUAGGACCUUCUCGACAUCCACCUCUAAUUCUCAGAAGGAGACCUUACUUCCUACAUCUGUGAGAAAACUGAGGACUGCACAUGUGAACCACCUUAACCUUCUGCCCCACCCCCCCCCAUUCAUUCCUUGACUCAUUUAACAAAUAUUUUUUCAACACCUGUUAUGUAACAAGCUCUAUGCGAGGUGCUGGGGAUGAAAUAAAUAACAAACACGCUCUACAUUCAUGAGGCUUACUGUCUGGUGAUGGAUAAAGCUGUAUAAAGAUGACUAAUAAGAGGUCUAACUAUCUUCAUGCUGCAAAACAACCCAAACUACUGCAUGCUCCAGUUGACUGUCACUGCCGAGACCAGCUUCUGAGUAAUUUCAGCCCAGGCAUCAGACUAGUGAGGGAAGGAGCUUCCAGGUGAUACCACCUCCCAGCCAUACUGUGAGAGGGAUGGGAAAGACUGGUGCUUGGGGUGGCCAUCUGACCCCUGAUGGACAGGAGACCAGGACAAGCCCACUGGAUGAGCCGGAGGGGUCCAGGAGGAGGGAGUUGAGAGCUCCUGCUAGGGUUGACACAUUCUGGUAAGGAGUUCAUCUGCUGUCCACCAGGGGAGACAAUAAAAAGGUCAACACAGCUCCCACCUCGAAGCAGCUGCCAGUUUAUUACAUGAAGUGUCAGGCUGUGGACUGCAGGCAUGCCAUUUUGUCUUCAAGAACAGGUGGGAUCAGAGGUCCUUGACUGAUCAGAAUACACUGCUUUCAACCAAAACAUUAUUAGCAUUGAUUUCUUAAAAAAUAAUAGCAAAGUAGAAAACCUUUAGCUGGUCUGUUUCUUCGUGUCCUGAAACUUCCUUAUUAGUGUAAUUAAAAGUACUAAGUUAAGAAUUAG
rnacentral:lncRNA from 1 species